AUUCCAUCAAAACCGAUAUGGAAUCCGCCUUGCGAAUGGAGUUGCUGAAACCUUAGACACGAAGUCCAUUUCGCAGCUGGAGGACUCGGCCAGUAUAUAAACGAGCUCCGCGAUGGGUAGGAAAAGGAAGUGAGGACUCACAUGGCAGUGGUAGACGUAACCCAGGCACAGCAGUGGCAUCAGCUGCUUCUCGGAUAACCUAACUACAUGAUGAAGAUAGAGAUUUGAAUCCAGGAUUUUACGAUGACCUAUCAAGGUUUUUAUCAUCUAGGUGUCGGAGGGGGUGCGCUUGAGGGUGGCGGCGACGUCGGAGACCUUGCGGCCGAGCAUGAGGGAGGCCAUCAUCUCGUCGUUACGGCGGAUGUUCUCCAGCCGCCGGCGCUCGUACUCCGUCAGGGUAUCCGACGCCAUAAGCGAGUCGGCGACGAGAGAGAGAGAGAGAGAGAGAGAGGGCUUAUUAUCAUCUAAACUAGUCAACCCCAAAGUCAAAUAUCUGUCAUUCCCACCUACACCAAUUGCGUACCUAUACAUAGAUUUGAGUCAUAUCCCUUUUCUUAAUAUAUAAUCAUCAAACCAAUAUUUGAAAUAUUAGUACUAUGGUCCACAUGUCACAUAGUUCUAUCUUGUAUGGAUUAGGAUCUAUCAUUAGGCUAGCAAAUAAUUUUUUUUAUUUUA